GACGAACGCUGGCGGCGUGCUUAACACAUGCAAGUCGAACGAUGAAGCUGAAGCUUGCUCCGGUGGAUUAGUGGCGAACGGGUGAGUAACACGUGAGAAAUCUGCCCUUCACUCUGGGAUAACUGCGGGAAACUGUAGCUAAUACCGGAUACUUUCCCUGGUGGGCAUCCACUAGGGAAGAAAGAAUUUCGGAGAAGGAUGAUCUCGCGGCCUAUCAGCUAGUUGGUGAGGUAAUGGCUCACCAAGGCGACGACGGGUAGCCGGCCUGAGAGGGUGACCGGCCACACUGGGACUGAGACACGGACCAGACUCCUACGGGAGGCAGCAGUGGGGAAUAUUGCACAAUGGGCGAAAGCCUGAUGCAGCAACGCCGCGUGAGGGAUGAAGGCCUUCGGGUUGUAAACCUCUUUUAGCAGGGAAGAAGCGAAAGUGACGGUACCUGCAGAAAAAGCACCGGCUAACUACGUGCCAGCCGCCGCAGUAA
rnacentral:rRNA from 1 species